GUGCUCCCUUCAGCAGCACAUAUACUAAAAUCAGAAUGAUACAGAAGAGAUUAGCAUGCUCCUGCACAAGAAUAACGCGCAAAUCCAUGAAGCCUUCCAUAUUUAA